GCGCGGCGGCUGCGCCUGCAGGACGGCUCCGUGCUGCUGCUCGUCAGCGACCCCAGGUAGUCUGGGUUGGAGGAGGUGGAGCCAUGACCGAGGGGACCGAAGAUGCUGGAUGAAGGAGCAGGCUGGGUGGGGGACACCUUCGGGAGGUUCUGGGCUCCUAGGGUAGACAGUGAAACACUGGCCUGACCAGCUGAUGCCCACUGCCAUGGACAGUCCUGAGGGAGCCCCACUCCCUGACACUGAGCGAGGACAUUGUCGCCCCAACCCAGCCAAUCAGGUUGUACUGUGUGACCCUGAGGCCAUGCCGCAGGAACCACUGUGCCAGCUUGGGCAGCCUGUGAAGAGAAGCACAGAGGAGAGAGGAGAGGAAAUCAGGCAGCACCUCUCCUACCUUGUACAUUCUCUUGGCCCAAGCUGUGCCCCUGCCAAAGGCACCUUCCACACCCCUCUCUGCGGCUCCAGCCCACCUGGAAUUCCAGCCUCCUCCAGGAAGUCUUCUCAGAUGCCCUCCUGCCCAGCCAGUGAGCACCGCACCCUCUUGUGGGUCCCACAAGCCCCUCUACUGUGAG